rnacentral:lncRNA from 1 species
GUGCAAAAUCCCCCCCUUCCCGAUAGCAGCUGUGCAUGGUUUUUUAAGUCGGUCUUUAACGUUGCGAAAGGAACAAUAAAAUGAAAGGCAAAACCGGCAUCUUAAAACUUGGCAAGUGAAAGCAGCUUGGACUGGCAGCCAAGAAUCCUGCUGUGGUGCAAAAAGAAUAGCAUCCACGAAGCCACCACAAUCCGGGGUUUCUCUUCUUUUAACAAUCGCAUCGGCAGAGAGAAAUAAUUAUUCCUUGUAUCAGUGUUAAAAGAGUCAAAAAGCUUAAAAAGCUUGCUUGGUGAACCUUCUCAAAAGCAGAAUACGUUCUUUGAAGAGUUGGGCCUAGCAAUAUGGCAGCGCACAGUCGAUACGGAAUCUUGCAAAAUGCUGCUAUUGAGGACCACGUGCUCCCUGACCCAUUGCCUUCACUGCUGCACGAUCCUUACAGGGGCAGAGAUUUCCAAAUUCUGGGUGCUCCCCAAUUGCACUCAGGGUCCUAUGUAAAAGUUGUCCUGAGUUUUUCAAAGGUGCCCAACCCCUGCGGCUCCGGGUCUUGGGAGGAAUUUUUGGGUGCUGAAAACUUUGGAAAAGCCGGACGCUUUGAAGGUAGGUUUGGAGUAUAAGCCUAGGAAUCUAAAUUUAGAUGAUCAAUUUAGAUAACCUUUGGACAGAUGGGGAAAGUUUAACAUCUCCGUUGCUGGAUGGAACAGGAGUUGCUUGUAACCCAGCCCAAGCAAUAAUUCCAAUAAAGGAAAAUUGUGUGUUUUAAUUGCA